rnacentral:rRNA from 1 species
CCUAGCGGCGGACGGGUGAGUAAUGCUUAGGAAUCUGCCUAUUAGUGGGGGACAACAUUCCGAAAGGAAUGCUAAUACCGCAUACGUCCUACGGGAGAAAGCAGGGGACCUUCGGGCCUUGCGCUAAUAGAUGAGCCUAAGUCGGAUUAGCUAGUUGGUGGGGUAAAGGCCUACCAAGGCGACGAUCUGUAGCGGGUCUGAGAGGAUGAUCCGCCACACUGGGACUGAGACACGGCCCAGACUCCUACGGGAGGCAGCAGUGGGGAAUAUUGGACAAUGGGGGGAACCCUGAUCCAGCCAUGCCGCGUGUGUGAAGAAGGCCUUUUGGUUGUAAAGCACUUUAAGCGAGGAGGAGGCUACUAGUAUUAAUACUACUGGAUAGUGGACGUUACUCGCAGAAUAAGCACCGGCUAACUCUGUGCCAGCAGCCGCGGUAAUACAGAGGGUGCGAGCGUUAAUCGGAUUUACUGGGCGUAAAGCGUGCGUAGGCGGCUGAUUAAGUCGGAUGUGAAAUCCCUGAGCUUAACUUAGGAAUUGCAUUCGAUACUGGUCAGCUAGAGUAUGGGAGAGGAUGGUAGAAUUCCAGGUGUAGCGGUGAAAUGCGUAGAGAUCUGGAGGAAUACCGAUGGCGAAGGCAGCCAUCUGGCCUAAUACUGACGCUGAGGUACGAAAGCAUGGGGAGCAAACAGGAUUAGAUACCCUGGUAGUCCAUGCCGUANACGAUGUCUACUAGCCGUUGGGGCCUUUGAGGCUUUAGUGGCGCAGCUAACGCGAUAAGUAGACCGCCUGGGGAGUACG